UCUACGGGAGGCAGCAGUGGGGGAUAUUGCACAAUGGGGGAAACCCUGAUGCAGCGACGCCGCGUGUGGGAAGACGGUCCUCUGGAUUGUAAACCACUGUCCCCAGGGACGAAGAUGACGGUACCUGGGGAGGAAGCUCCGGCUAACUACGUGCCAGCAGCCGCGGUAAUACGUAGGGAGCGAGCGUUGUCCGGAAUUACUGGGUGUAAAGGGAGCGUAGGCGGGACUGCAAGUUGGGUGUCAAAUCUACCGGCUCAACCGGUAGCCGCACUCAAAACUGCAGUUCUUGAGUGACGUAGAGGCAGGCGGAAUUCCUAGUGUAGCGGUGAAAUGCGUAGAUAUUAGGAGGAACACCAGGGGCGAAGGCGGCCUGCUGGGCUUUUACUGACGCUGAGGCUCGAAAGUGUGGGGAGCAAACAGGAUUAGAUACCCCAGUAGUC
rnacentral:rRNA from 1 species